rnacentral:rRNA from 1 species
CUACGGGUGGCAGCAGUGAGGAAUUUUGCGCAAUGGGGGGAACCCUGACGCAGCAACGCCGCGUGAGUGAUGAAGGCUUUCGGGUCGUAAAGCUCUGUCAAGUGGGAAGAACCUAUGCAGUGUUAAUAUCACUGUAUACUGACGGUACCACUGAAGGAAGCACCGGCUAACUCCGUGCCAGCAGCCGCGGUAAUACGGGGGGUGCAAGCGUUAUUCGGAAUCAUUGGGCGUAAAGGGCACGUAGGCGGCUUGGUAAGUCAGAUGUGAAAGCCCGGGGCUUAACCCCGGAAGUGCAUUUGAUACUGUCAGGCUUGAGUAUGGGAGGGGGAAGUGGAAUUCCUGGUGUAGAGGUGAAAUUCGUAGAUAUCAGGAGGAACACCGGUGGCGAAGGCGACUUCCUGGACCAAUACUGACGCUGAGGUGCGAAGGCGUGGGUAGCAAACAGGAUUAGAUACCCGUGUAGUC